GUCUGUCUUUCAGACACUUCUGAUGAAACUGAAAAUGCCACCAGGGAGAAGCAGCUGAAGAGGAUUUUUUUUUGUUUCACCCCAGCAAUGUGAGAGAUAGAAUGGAUGCCCUAAAGAAGAGGAUGCAGCAGAAAUUAGGAAGAGAUAAAGAAGAGCAACAUUCCUUAAGAAAUGCCCUAUGGUUGGGAAUGGCCAUUUCAUGUUAGAAACAAAGGUGAUAAUAUUCAA
ensembl:lncRNA LINC01471 long intergenic non-protein coding RNA 1471